rnacentral:rRNA from 1 species
UACGAAGGGGGCUAGCGUUGUUCGGAAUUACUGGGCGUAAAGGGCGCGUAGGCGGUGUGUCAAGUCAGGCGUGAAAGCCCCGGGCUCAACCUGGGAACAGCGCUUGAGACCGGCACGCUCGAGUUCGGGAGAGGAUGGUGGAAUUCCCAGUGUAGAGGUGAAAUUCGUAGAUAUUGGGAAGAACACCGAUGGCGAAGGCAGCCAUCUGGACCGACACUGACGCUGAGGCGCGAAAGCGUGGGGAGCAAACAGG